ensembl:lncRNA
CAGGUGGCUAGGUCGGGGCCCGGCGCUUGGUGGGUGCAGAAGGGGUGGGGGGGCGGCGGAGGACACACAGAGGGAAUCAGUGUCACAGAAUGCUUACCCCUGCGCAGGCGCCAUCGUGCAGAGCGCCGGCAGCCAUUUUGGGUGCGGGCAAGCUGCCCUUUCCUGACUUCCUAGCGAGUCAUCGAGCUGUGGGGUGGGGGGAAAGACGUCCUCCUGCACUCCGCCGUUCCUGAGACAGCGCUCCGAGCAAGGGGCAGGUGCUCCUCAGCCCAGUAAGAUUAACGUUCAGCUCGGGACCGUCUUAACUCUCUUGUUGUCCAAGUAAAAUUUGCAAAGGUUUUGAGGUACGGAACUGUAUCUUCACCAGAAACCUACUGGAGAGCACUUAUUAGCUUGCCCUUUUCGCCACGAAAAACGACUUUUUCGUUCACAGUCUAAGUCCCUUCCUCUUUUUUAAUUUACGCUGACAGAAGAGGAAGUUGAUAUAUAAGAAGAGUUAAAUCAAAUUUAAAAUGGGAAGCAAGAGGGAAAGCACCCGCCGAACUGAAAACCGUCUUUGAGACCAACAAUAACAAAAAUUUUGGGGAUUCUGCUAACAGAUUGACACGGUGGUCGUUUAUUCAUAUAUGCUGCGUAAGACUAUUCGAUUAAAAACACCAGCCACUGUAAAAACCAGACUGCAAGACUGCGGGGAUUAUUAUCGUCUGGGAUGAUGAGCCUGGGAUCCUAUCCGGCAAUCGUGAGCGCUACCGGCUGCUCCUUCUUACUUUCGCCAAACCUGAACGGGCAAUUUGAAUAAUUUAAAAUAGUUCCAAAACAGCAAAGCUCAGCAGCUACGCAAAGAAACAAGGAUGGAAAACACCUUCCUCAGCCACAGAGAAGUGUCCACCCUUUUGAGUGGAGGAAUUACACAAAUCAGGGGGAAGAUAAGGACAAAAGCAGUUCAUCACGGUUUAUCCCGCCUCUGCAAUGUUCUAGACGACUUAACUUGGAGCGCUAAAAUAGACCCUCAUUUGUCUCUUUACAACUCAAUGGCUGUAAGAUAUACGGAGACUGCAUCACUUUAAAUUGGAGUAUCAAUUGUUUUGCAAUGGUGGUGCUGGAUUUUUGUUAUUGCUCAGUCACUAAAGCAAGAAAAAUCUAUACAGCUUGUCAAAUUUAUCCCUAUUGUAUUUCGCCCCCUGCUGGUAUGGGAGCUUGUUGUUCGUGCUCAAUCUCUCAGCAGAGUCCGACUCUUUGCAACCCCGUGUACUAUAUAGCCCACCCGACUCCUCUGUCCGUGGGAUUUCCCAGGCAAGAAUACUGGAGCAGGUUAACAUUUGCUUCUCCAGGGGAUCCUCCCUAUCUAGGGAUUGAACCAGUGUCUCUUGCAUUGGCAGGCGGGUUCUUUACCACUGAGCCGCCAGGGAAACCAUGUGUGUAUAUGUAUAUGUAUGUGUAUAUGUAUAUGUAUAUGUAUAUGUGUAUGUAUAUCACUAUAAAUGUUUAUUGACUGGGAAGGAAACAAAACUAUUUGCAUUUGUAUGUAUGUGUUCAGAGACUGGAAAUGAAUUGAUUUUAGAUGUAUUCAUAGCUGUUGCAAUUUGCUAGUUCAACUGAACAGAAAUAGCAGAAGAAGAACAUAUGACAAAAAGCAGACCCAUCAUCAAGAAAAUGUUUAAAACGAAAUAAUAAAUUUAAACAUCAAAACUUUAAAAAGAAAACUCUGCUUUCAAAAAAAUCUUCCUUAUUUCAUACAUAAAGUAUUACAGAAUGAUUUUUGUGAGGUAACUGCAGAAGCCAGUUCUAUUCACUUAAGGACAACAAUAGAGAAGUCAGUGUCCAACAUUGUGUAGAGCUGUUGAGUCCCUGUUUGGCCAGCUGACUUGAGAGCAAUCAACCAACUUGUAAUUGGUAAUGUUACACAUAAUUUUGGAGGCAGCAUUCCAAUGCUUAUGAAAUUGUAUUACAAAAAGAAAAUACCUCUGAAUAUUUUUAAGAUGAAUGGAGGAGGAAGAAUUAUUAAAAACCAUUGCAUUUGGAUCCAGUGAUCGUUUUUAUUUACUUUUUAAAAGUUAAGGCCAUAAUUACUUAAGAUUUUGC